GCCUGGGUGGCUCAGUUGGGUUGAGCAUCUGACUUUGGCUCAGGUCAUGAUCUCACAGCUCGUGAGUUUGAGCCCCGCGUCGGGCU
rnacentral:tRNA from 1 species